rnacentral:tmRNA from 1 species
GGGGAUGUACUGGUUUUGACGCUGUGAUUGGUAGAUCCGGGUUGCGAGUGCGGGCGCUGUUCCCGCUUAUCAACGAGCAAAUUAAAUUAAAUGCUACAGAUAAUGUUGUAGUUGCUGAUUUCUCUAGAGCUGCUGCUCGUAGAGCUGCAUAACAGACUUUGCAGUCAGCCUCUGAUACAAUCCAUCUUGCCGAUUGUAUUGGACCACUAUGCAAGACGCAGUGCACAGAUGAUGGUAUGUGCAUCAAGAUAACCAUUGGAGGUUAGGCUUCCGCAAAAAGUCUUUGGCUUAGUUCAGGUUUUGUAACUUUCCGUAUUAAGUUGAGCUAAUAAGUUACUACACUCGUAGAUAUUCGUUUUUAUCCACAAUGGACGUGGGUUCGACUCCCACCAUCUCCA